ensembl:lncRNA
AAGCAUGGCUGUGAGAGGACUGAAUGGUCUGGUCCUUAUCCAUGUUGUGUCUGGUGAUGGUAUCUUAUCUUAAGGGAAUGGUAGUGUUUAUUUAAAAAAAAAAAAAGUUGGAAUUUUAUUUAUAUUAUCUUAAAACAUUGGUAAUUUGACUGUUCAAGUUUACUUAAUCCAAUGUGGAUGUGAAAAAAAUGAUAUAGUAAAAUUGCCCUUCUCUUUAAUAUCCACUAUGUCAGUACCCUUGUGCUAUGAGUUGCAGGCAAAAUGUUUUGACUCAUUCCAGUUUUCUAAUUAUUUCUAGAAUCUUACUUUGAUCGCCAGAAUAAGUGACAACUUAGAAUGAGACAAGAUUUCAGAGGCUUGCAAAAGCCAUUUAAAUAAGUUUGAACAAACCAGUUUCUUAUUCAGUAUACUAACCAUGGAAAAAGAUGUGGAUAUCAUUUCUUGGAUGUGUUUCUGUUGAUUGCUGGCACUGUCCACCUGGAUAUAUUCCUGCCUGGAGCUUUGGCCUUGUUUAAUUGAAAGUUAGAAUAGUCAAAUAUGUAUUCUUGAUAUGAAUCUUUGAUUUUAGCAUCCCGUGUCUGCUUUGUUUUGAAGAACCCGUUGCUUUGUAAUGAUGUUUCUUUAAUGCAUGACUGUAGAUGUACAAUAGAUGUAGUAGAUGAACAAUAGAUAGUAGAUGAACAAGACAGAAGCAUGAUGUUUGGCAGAAAUGAAGAAGCCUUACAGGAAGGAGUUAAAACAGUCAAAUCAAAGCCAUCAGCACCAACAGAAAAGAAAGAAAAAUAGAAUCAGUGAUUGUUCCCAUUCAGUUUGAGCUGUGAUUCUCCUCAGUUCUUUCAAACCUUGGCCCGGAAUUUUGGACUCCAGGAUUCGUUCUGCUUCCUGCAAGUGGGAACAGCUGCAGUGUUCCAAUUACAUCUCAGUCCCAAGCGCCUCAAGGACACUGCUCUUCUGCAAAGGAUCCGAGGUGAAAAGGGUGAUAAUGUUCUCUGUCACAGAUCUGUGGAUUCUUAAAGAGAAGUUCUCUUGGGAGAGACCGUAUUACAGGCAGUGUUGCAGGCAUCCUCACUCCUUGGAAAAGCUUAUUUCUUCAGAUGGGAGUUCAGAAGCGUUGGGCCAGAGCAAAAUGAGCAUUUUGUCAUUAGUGUGCUGCUGUUAAGACGGGAACAGCUCAUCCUGUGUGCCCGUGUAUAAUGGAAGUGUCUGCUUCUGGUAACUGCUGUUUGUCCAUGAUGACUCGGGUGAGCACCUUGUCACUGUUGUGUCUUGGAUCCAUCCCUGCAUUUUGCAGGGUCUGGAUCUUGGUAUGCCGGCUAGUGGAAGAAGCAAGGGAGAACUUCAGUAAGAAAAGUCCUUUAAACUGCUUUCAAGAAGAACAUUUCAUUAAAGCAUUUAUUUCUCUUUUCAACACCGGUGCCUGGAAAACCAUUUAUUUUGAUCUGUGAGACUUUAUUUAGAUUAACAGUUACCCUAAAACCAUAAUAGCCAUUAUAAAAUAUGAUCGUUCUCAUCUUAAGAGUUUGGGAGUAAUUGGAUUUGUCUGGGCUGCUGCUGGUGAAGUGCUCACCUCCCAACACCUGGGACCAGCAGUGCUUAAUUGGACCUCAGCUGCGCAGCACAGCUACGCUUCCCUCUGGCUGCAGCAGCAGGAGGGAGCAGGCGUUCACAGGCUGAUUAGCUGUUGCUGGUCCGGUUGAUGAUUUUCUCUUUCCAGCUAUUUUCUCGAGUUUGUAAUGCUGUGAAAGAACUGCACUGGAAAACAAACAGAAGAAAAUGUGCCAUCAUGCCUUAGCAAGAGGAGAGCCUGAGUUUGGACACUCCAUGUUUCUUCUUGAUGUUCUGAGAUGCUAAUGUGGGCCUCACAUACCAUGGAAGCCUUUCUGGUGGAGGACUGUAAAUCUUUAAAGGGAGAUAACGAUAGAAUUGCUGAUGCGACCUGAUUAUAUCAGUGUGAAUGGGACUGCCAAAAUACAAUUAAAGAAACAGCUUAUAUUCUCUGUCUUGUAGGCAGGAUACAAUUGUUCAUGUCAUUACCACACUUGUUAUUUUCCUGGUGACAAUUGAUUUAACGUACUGUUUGGAAAACGUAUGUGCUUAUUCUCUCAGUGCUGAUUUAUGAUGUGAUAAGAAAGUGCCAAACUUCUUAGCAAUAAAAGAGGUUCUGUGCAGUGUGGUAU